rnacentral:rRNA from 1 species
GACGUAGGGCGCGAGCGUUGUCCGGAUUUAUUGGGCGUAAAGAGCUCGUAGGCGGCUCGGUGCGUCGGCUGUGAAAACCCGCAGCUCAACUGUGGGCUUGCAGCUGAUACGGGCGGGCUGGGAUUCGGUAGGGGAGACUGGAAUUCCUGGUGUAGCGGUGAAAUGCGCAGAUAUCAGGAGGAACACCGGUGGCGAAGGCGGGUCUAUGGGCCGAUAUCGA